rnacentral:rRNA from 1 species
UGCGCAGGCGGAAGAAUAAGUCAGUGGUGAAAUACUGCCGCUCAACGGUAGGGCUGCCAUUGAUACUGUUUUUCUUGAGUAUGGUUGAGGUAGGCGGAAUGUGCGGUGUAGCGGUGAAAUGCAUAGAUAUCGCCCAGAACGCCGAUUGCGAAGGCAGCUUACUAAACCAUUACUGACGCUGAGGCACGAAAGCGUGGGGAGCGAACAGGAUUAGAUACCCUGGUAGUCC